rnacentral:rRNA from 1 species
GAUGAACGCUGGCGGCGUGCCUAAUACAUGCAAGUCGAGCGAACAGACGAGGAGCUUGCUCCUCUGACGUUAGCGGCGGACGGGUGAGUAACACGUGGAUAACCUACCUAUAAGACUGGGAUAACUUCGGGAAACCGGAGCUAAUACCGGAUAAUAUAUUGAACCGCAUGGUUCAAUAGUGAAAGACGGUUUUGCUGUCACUUAUAGAUGGAUCCGCGCCGCAUUAGCUAGUUGGUAAGGUAACGGCUUACCAAGGCAACGAUGCGUAGCCGACCUGAGAGGGUGAUCGGCCACACUGGAACUGAGACACGGUCCAGACUCCUACGGGAGGCAGCAGUAGGGAAUCUUCCGCGAUGGGCGAAAGCCUGACGGAGCAACGCCGCGUGAGUGAUGAAGGUCUUCGGAUUGUAAAACUCUGUUAUUAGGGAAGAACAAAUGUGUAAGUAACUAUGCACGUCUUGACGGUACCUAAUCAGAAAGCCACGGCUAACUACGUG